rnacentral:Y_RNA from 1 species
GGUUGGUCCGAGUGCAGUGGUGUUUACAACUAUUUGAUCACAACCAGUUACAGAUUCCUUUGUUCCUUCUCCCCUCCCACUGCUUCACUUGACCAGCCUUAA